rnacentral:misc_RNA from 1 species
UUUCCGUAGGUGAACCUGCGGAAGGAUCAUUAAUAAUUAUUGUUUUAUGGCACUUUUCUAAUUCCAUAUCCACGUUGUCUGCAAUGUCAGGGUUGAUGUUUCUCUCGAGAGGACCAGCUCCAAACAUCAACUAUCUCUCAACUCUUUGUCUGAAUAAUAUGAUGAAUAAAAACAUUCAAAAUACAACUUUCAACAACGGAUCUCUUGGCUCUC